rnacentral:tRNA from 1 species
GCCUGGGUGGCUCAGUCGGUUAAGUGUCCGACUUUGGCUCAGGUCAUGAUCUCGCGGUCCGUGGGUUCGAGCCCCACGUCGGGCU